CCUACGGGAGGCAGCAGUGGGGAAUUUUGCGCAAUGGGGGAAACCCUGANGCAGCNACGCCGCGUGNNGGAUGAAAUCCCUUGGGAUGUAAACUCCUUUCGAUCGGGACGAUUAUGACGGUACCGGAAGAAGAAGCCCCGGCUAACUUCGUGCCAGCAGCCGCGGUAAU
rnacentral:rRNA from 1 species